rnacentral:rRNA from 1 species
ACGAACGCUGGCGGCGUGCUUAACACAUGCAAGUCGAACGGAAAGGCCUGCUUUCCCUUGUGGAUUGCGGGUACUCGAGUGGCGAACGGGUGAGUAACACGUGAGUGAUCUGCCCCCAACUUGGGUAUAAGCCUGGGAAACUGGGUCUAAUUCCCGAUAGGACUGCAGGGUGGUGCCUGUGGUGGAAAACGAUUUUCUAGUGGUUGGGGAUGAGCUCGCGGCCUAUCAGCUUGUUGGUGGGGUAAUGGCCUACCAAGGCGGCAACGGGUAGCCGGCCUGAGAGGGUGGACGGCCACAUUGGGACUGAGAUACGGCCCAGACUCCUACGGGAGGCAGCAGUGGGGAAUAUUGCACAAUGGGCGGAAGCCUGAUGCAGCGACGCCGCGUGGGGGAUGACGGCCUUCGGGUUGUAAACUCCUUUCGACCGCGAGGAAGCCACCUGGUUGGAAGGGUGGUGACGGUAGUGGUAGAAGAAGCACCGGCUAACUACGUG